AUGAGAAUAAACAACUUCAAUCCGUUUGUGUCACAUAAUAUUUUCAAAAUCUGCUGCUAAUAGUUGACUAACAAAGUCAGAUAUGUUAUCCAUAAUCGAUUACUAUGCAGCUUGAAUAUUUUCAGUUUAAGCAUUUUCACAAAACAAUCGAUUGUUAAACACACACAAUCGAUUGUUGAGAAUUGACAAUCGAUUGUUA
rnacentral:lncRNA from 1 species